UUUCUCCAGGCUCCAUUUUCAAAUUCAUACGGUUCUUAGGACGACACAUCACACCUUCUGAAACGACGCCAUUGACAUCAAACUGGAUUCCCACCGCAUCUUGUUCCUUAUGGCUGCGAAUCACCACAUACACGACGUUUUCUUCUAUAGGCAUACCUAUACCGUCACACCUGUUCCUGUUUCCUCCCCCAGUAUAUAACCACCGCUCCUUAUCAUAUGUUUUAUUCUUACACGUCUCUUGCAAACCCUAACCCUCCAUCCGGUGUAUUACUUUUCUAAAAGCCUCCGUUCAUCUUCAUCUUAUUUUUGAAAUUAGGGUUUCCUUUAUCUUCCAUCUUUUGGUGCUGGCUGUGUACGACGACAAUGUGCAAGGUGGUGGUGUUCGUUCUAUGCUAAGCAUGGACUUUGAGGGAUAGAGAUGGGUAUUAGGAUUAUAGCAAAGCUCGUUGAGUGUGGCCCGACCAUUAUGAAUACAGGGACACACAACUAAAUUAUAUGUUGCAAAUGUUGCCACAUGUUUGGAUGUUUUUUGAGGGUCAUCAAAAAGUUGACGUGGAUAAACUCAACACAUCUGUGUCAAAAUAUGGAGAAGUUGGAUUGGUAACCUUCAAGGAUGCAAAUUAUCAAAAUCUAGCAGUGAUGAAAUCUCAUAAUAUUUAAAUUAUGACAUACAUAACGUGAUGUUGAAAAAAAUAAUAGGGUUAAUAUAAAUGUUAGUUAGACUUUUUGGUAAUUAUGAUUGUAGAAAAUCCACAAACAUGUAACAAUUUAUCUAUUAAGGUUGGAUACUAUUACCCCAUC